GGACUGUGGUCCCUAUUUCAAGAUGGGACCAGUCAGCACAGUUGUUUUUCUGUAGCUUCCUGGGUACAAGUGCAGAGUCAGAGGAAAUGAACUUAACCAGUUAGUUUUGAUAAGCAGUGUUCAAGCUGGGAGGUACUAGAGAACAUGAGAAUUAAGUAACAAGCGACUGGUGGGAAUGAGUGAGAAACUCCAGGGAAACACAGCCCCACGAAAUCUGCAGGUUAGUAGUGGCUGCAACCCCCCUGGAGGCUCUGCUCAUGUCUUCCGGAAGCACAGGUAACAGUGGGCCAUGCCCCCACCCCAAUUCCUGCCAUCCCACUGGAUAGAUAGCUUGUAGCAGAAGCAGCAAGGAGUGCCUCCUGUGAGUGGCUGACAAGCAGAGCGGUUUUGAAAUUUUGAAAGUGCUUCCACUUUGUAACUGUACAGAAGAGUCCUUGGAGGAGCAACCUGGAGGGGAGGGGGCUCUCCUUCCACAGUAUGCUGCCACUGUAUUCCUCUGGGUACCGCAGCAUACCAUCUGAGACAGAAUAAGAGAUUCCAAUGGAUGAUUGUGUAGAAUCUUCCAAGAGCUUUAGAAAUGGCUCGCUUUGUUACAAUGUCCAGCCCAGACAUCUAUUCCAGUGCCUUUGCUGAUCAGAAUUCACUAUCAACUUUGGAUGCUUGCCCACUUCAAAUACUCCCAAAAGUAAGGAGACAUUACAUCAGCGGUGCUGCAGAAAGAUUAAUGUGCUUUGUUUGGAGAUGUAAAUGAGGAUGACACUUCUUUGAGACAAGACGACAAAUCUGCAAUGUAACCUGAGACUGCAAGACCCUGAGAAUGCCGAAGCAGGAAGAGUGAUCGAGACUGACAAGAGCAUGACCAUGGUGAUCUCUCAGGAAGCAAAAUCAUUCCAUACAUGCAUAAGAAAUUCUGUCCAGAAACUGAACACUUCAGUGCUGGUGAACUUAUGAUGAAGUCAACUAAAUGAAGAGCUAAACUUAUAAUCUUAGUUGUCAUUUGGCUCUUGUUUUAUCAAAAUGUAAUUCUAAUAAAAUCAAAAUAAGGGUAUUCUUUUACUUCCUGAGUCUAAGAAAGGCAGGACUCACUGCAAAUGUCUGUGAAUGUUGUAUUAGACCAUAUACUUUCUUUAAUAAAGCAAACAGUUUAGAGUAAAUGAUUCACAUACUAUUCUGGGAGCAGUGCUCUAGGAAGGCUGUGAAGGGACUGCUUUCUGCUCAUGCACGGGGAAAAGGGAGUCUUAUUCACUGUAGCCCUCAUGUCUUGUAUGUGGCAUGAUACCUAGCACUUAAAAGGAGUCCAACUCAUGGCUGUGAACUGAGAGAGUAAUAACAGCUCACACUGAGCUUGCUAUAUUCCGGUACUGCACAAACAGCAACUCAUCGAAUUCUCACAGUAGCCCUAAGUGGUAAAUACUGCUAUUAUUCCCAUUUUUAUAGCUGAGGAAACUGAAGAACAGAGAGGUUACACAACUUGGUGUAGGUGGAGCCAGACUGCAAA